rnacentral:rRNA from 1 species
AAUAGAUACCCUGGUAGUCCAUGCCGUAAACGUUGGGAACUAGAUGUGGGGACCAUUCCACGGUCUCCGUGUCGCAGCUAACGCAUUAAGUUCCCCGCCUGGGGAGUACGGCCGCAAGGCUAAAACUCAAAGGAAUUGACGGGGGGCCCGCACAAGCGGCGGAGCAUGCGGAUUAAUUCGAUGCAACGCGAAGAACCUUACCAAAGCUUGACAUAUACGAGAACGCUGCAGAAAUGUAGAACUCUUUGGACACUCGUAUACAGGUGGUGCAUGGUUGUCGUCAGCUCGUGUCGUGAGAUGUUGGGUUAAGUCCCGCAACGAGCGCAACCCUCGUCGUAUGUUGCCAGCACGUAAUGGUGGGAACUCAUAUGAGACUGCCGGGGUCAACUCGGAGGAAGGUGGGGAUGAGGUCAAAUCAUCAUGCCCCUUAUGUCUUGGGCUUCACGCAUGCUACAAUGGCCGGUACAAAGGGCUGCAAUACCGCAAGGUGGAGCGAAUCCCAAAAAGCCGGUCUCAGUUCGGAUUGGUAC